UCACAUUGGGCCCUGCAUAAAUAUGCAGACUUUAGCUGAUUAUGCAUUGAAUUUAUGCGAUCGCAUAAUCACGUUUUUCUGGAGGGACUAGGAAUUGUCUGUGUUC